UACCAGCACCCCGAGUGGUCGGGACGAUUAUUGGGCCUAAAGCAUCCGUAGCCGGUUCUACAAGUCUUCCGUUAAAUCCACCUGCUUAACAGAUGGGCUGCGGAGGAUACUAUAGAGCUAGGAGGCGGGAGAGGCAAGCGGUACUUAGUGGGUAGGGGUAAAAUCCGUUGAUCCAUUGAAGACCACCAGUGGCGAAGGCGGCUUGCCAGAACGCACUCGACGGUGAGGGAUGAAGGCUGGGGGAGCAAACCGGG
rnacentral:rRNA from 1 species